UACGGGGGGAGCAAGCGUUGUUCGGAUUUACUGGGCGUCAAGGGCGCGUAGGCGGUAGCACAAGUCAGUUGUGAAAUCUCCGGGCUUAACUCGGAAAGGUCAACUGAUACUGUGCGACUAGAGUGCAGAAGGGGCAACUGGAAUUCUCGGUGUAGCGGUGAAAUGCGUAGAUAUCGAGAGGAACACCUGCGGCGAAGGCGGGUUGCUGGGCUGACACUGACGCUGAGGCGCGAAAGCCAGGGGAGCGAACGGG
rnacentral:rRNA from 1 species